rnacentral:rRNA from 1 species
CACACCGCCCGUCACAUCAUGAAAGCCGGUUGUACCCGAAGUCGCCGUGUUAACCGCAAGGAGACAGGUGGCCGAAGGUAUGGCUGGUGAUUGGAGUG